GACGAACGCUGGCUGCGUGCUUAACACAUGCAAGUCGAACGCUGGAGCCCCAGCUUGCUGGGGUGGAUGAGUGUCGAACGGGUGAGUAACACGUGAGUAACCUGCCCCUGACUUCGGGAUAAGCCCGGGAAACUGGGUCUAAUACCGGAUACGACCUGUCCUCGCAUGAGGGUGGGUGGAAAGUUUUUUCGGUUGGGGAUGGGCUCGCGGCCUAUCAGUUUGUUGGUGAGGUAAUGGCUCACCAAGACGACGACGGGUAGCCGGCCUGAGAGGGCGACCGGCCACACUGGGACUGAGACACGGCCCAG
rnacentral:rRNA from 1 species